UACGAAGGGGGCUAGCGUUGUUCGGAAUCACUGGGCGUAAAGGGCGCGUAGGCGGCUUUAUAAGUCGGGGGUGAAAGCCUGUGGCUCAACCACAGAAUUGCCUUCGAUACUGUAGAGCUUGAGACCGGAAGAGGUAAGUGGAACUGCGAGUGUAGAGGUGAAAUUCGUAGAUAUUCGCAAGAACACCAAUGGCGAAGGCGGCUUACUGGUCCGGUUCUGACGCUGAGGCGCGAAAGCGUGGGGAGCAAACAGG
rnacentral:rRNA from 1 species